UACCAGCUCUCCGAGUGGUGUGGAUGUUUAUUGGGCCUAAAGCAUCCGUAGCUGGCUGGACAAGUCCCCUGUUAAAUCCACCGAUUUAAUCGUUGGUGUGCGGGGGAUACUGUUCGGCUAGGGGACGGGAGAGGCCGACGGUAUUUCCGGGGUAGGGGUGAAAUCCUAUAAUCCCGGGAAGACCACCAGUGGCGAAGGCUGUCGGCUAGAACGCGCCCGACGGUGAGGGAUGAAAGCGGGGGGAGCGAACCGGAUUAGAUACCCGGGUAGUCCCAGCUGUAAACGAUGCAGGCUAGGUGUUUGGGCGGCCACGUGCCGCUCUAGUGCCGCAAGGAAGCUGUUAAGCCUGCCGCCUGGGGAGUACGGCCGCAAGGCUGAAACUUAAAGGAAUUGGCGGGGGAGCACCACAAGGGGUGAAGCUUGCGGUUU
rnacentral:rRNA from 1 species